UGCAAGCAUGCACAAAAAUCCACUUUAAUCAAUUUUCAUUAUAAAAUUCCCCCAAAUCCAGCAGGUGGCAGUGAGCAACAGUUUGAAAUUCAAAUGCUGCAGAAGGGAAGUAUAAUUUCCAUUAGUGAAACUAAAAGGAUACUGGAUUCAUUUAGGAGCUAAAUGGCACAAUUGUGGCUGGUACAUGAAGGCAUCUAAACAAAUGAAUCACUUUUCAGACUGGUAGCUUCUAAGUCAGCCUUAGAAGGUGACAUCUUGAUCCCUCCUUUGCUGCUUUGUAGCUCCUCGUCGGGCAGGCACUAUAGCUUUAUGCUGUGAUGCAGUGCUGUGCAGAUAAGGGUUGUUAGCUUUACAGUAUAGAAAACAAUUCACUCUGCUAGAUUAAUGGAAAUGCAGAAUGUCUUUUUGAAUAGCUCAUUUUACAUCAAAGUCUUUUCAUGGGAGGUAUAAUGAAUCGAAGUGUGAUAGGCAAUUUAAUUCAUUACAGCUGUCAACCAGUGAGCAGUGCUGCACUUGAUUUGUUUUGGUGCCUCUUGCAGGUUGCUGCCAAGGUGUUAGUCAUUACACUUCAUUUUGUGAACUACCCAGGUGGUGAAAACAGAAAAAGUUGCUGGGCAGAAUGGGAGCAGAGCUUCCUCCUCUAUAGAUGUGAGGAAAAUGCUGGAAGAAAAAGCAAAGUUACGCUGCCCGAGCACUUGUGCAGAGAGUGUGACUCCAGCUGAGAGUAAUUCCCAGAGGCAGCAAGCGGAGGGCAUCAGUUGGGUGAUUGUGUGUUUUGGCUCUGAGGCUUCCUAUGGUCUACUUCUUGUUUAGCCAGCAGACUUCAUAGUUUCUAAGUUCUCAGAUGGACCCGCUGAUUUAGUCAGUGCUGAGGAACACAUUACAAAGCAUUCAGAAGCAUACAAAAUGAGUGCUUUGGCACAGUGAGCUGAUACAGCAUGGUUUCGUAUUAUGGGAUGGGGAAAAUGACAGUGCCCUAGCUCAGUUAACUCCAAAUGCUGCUGUUUGUCACCGGAGAGGUGGCUGCCUCAGCAACUUCUCCUGCCAUCACUAAUGCAUCCUCCCGAGUGAUGGAUUGAAAGGUGCACUCUGCAUCUCCAUGUGUCAAAACAAAUAAAUUGAUUUCAGUCGUUGAAUACAACAGCUAAUCUGAAUGUAAAGAGAAAACUGAAUUAUAAGAGAUGAUUUAUGCCACUAAGGUCAUGUCAUGGUGAAGUAGGACUCAAUAUUCUCUCCACAAACUGGAAUACCAUAAAAAGGACAAUAAAGAAACCAAUUUAGACAGAGCCAAGCUCUUCUCUGCAAUAAUUGCUUGAUUCUGGCAGGGCACUGGUGAGAUGAAUGCAUCACUCUGUGUGUGCUAAUCCAGCAUGGAACAGAAUUUGGACUGUGUUACACAGAGGGACAAUGAUUUAUGUGAAUAUGGAGGUAGCCUGGGUUUGAAAUUGAUUACAGGUUUCAGGUCUUUGGAUGCUCUUUGGGAGAUGGCAGGCUUUAUCACCAAGUUGCUGUGGAUUACAAAAAAAAAUCAACAAGCCAAAAUCACAAAAGCAAACAUCUUAUUUUUAGAUAUGGUGUCCUCUGCAUCAAAUCAAAUACCUGAUUACUUCAGUCACAUACAAGAGUAUAUGCAGUGAACUGGAUUUUUCCCUGGAAUUCAGUAAUGGUCCCUGAACUACUGCUUUUUGGGAGCUGUAGAGAUUAUACAGGUGGUAUUUUGGGUACUUUGGGCUUCUGAGAAAGCUGGUGUGCUUUUUUUUUUUUUUUUUUUUUUUUUUUUAACCUAGUUGAUCAGCGGGGGUGGCAUGUGAGGAAACUUUGCAAGGUGAUGAAUGCUGUGAGAGGUACCAUAUGCAGUGAAAGUUGUAGAGCUGUGUAGGAAGUAGGUAUUUUUGUCAUGCUUUACAUUCUAGAAGAUAAAAUACUUUUAAAAUCUCUAAUAGAGUGUUAGGAUAUUUUAGAUGGAUCUAAAGCUUGCACUUUGAGGAAAAAUUAAAAAAUGAUUUUCCUUAUGAUCUUCAGAAAAUAUUUUCUAUACUGAAGCUAUGCAGGCAGUCUCUAAUAAAAAGCCUGACAAUAAAA